GAUGAACGCUGGCGGCGUGCCUAAUACAUGCAAGUCGAGCGAACGGACGAGAAGCUUGCUUCUUUGACGUUAGCGGCGGACGGGUGAGUAACACGUGGAUAACCUACCUAUCAGACUGGGAUAACUUCGGGACACCGGAGCUAAUACCGGAUGAUAUCUUGAACCGCAUGGUUCAAUAGUGAAAGACGGUCUUGCUGUAUCUUAUAGAUGCAUCCGCGCUGCAUUAGCUAGUAGGUAAGGUAACGGCCUACCACGGCAACGAUGCAUAGCCGACCUGAGAGGGGGAUCGGCCACACUGGAACUGGGACACGGUCCAGACUCCUACGGGAGGCAGCAGUAGGGAAUCUUCCGCAAUGGGCGAAAGCCUGACGGAGCAACGCCGCGUGAGUGAUGAAGGUCUUCGGUUCGUAAAACUCUGUUAUUAGGGAAAAACAGAUGUGUAAGUAACUGUGCACAUCUUGACGGUACCUAAUCAGAAAGCCACGGCUAACUACGUG
rnacentral:rRNA from 1 species